AUGCUCCCAGCCCCGCCGCCUUUGAUGUGCCCAGCGGCGGGUCCCCGGCCGCCCUUGCAGCAGGAAAGCGGCAGCAGGCAUCUCCCCCCCGUUAGCCGAGCUCGCGGACGGAGGGAGAACCCAGCCGCAGGCCGCCAACCAGCGGGGGAGCCACAGCUCGCCUCCUGCUGCCCGAGCAGGUUAGAAGCGCUGCGGAGGUGUCCUCUUGUCCCCUGCCUACUAUGUGCAGAGAGAAGACCAUUGAGAUGGGAGCUGGAGCAAGAUGGGAGAAGAGAAAGAGAGAAGUAGGAAAACCUGUUUAUAAAAUGGUAGAGUUAAGGCUCCCAUCAAUAUACUAUGUGAGGGCUUCACAAACAUUAAUUUGUUCUCAUGGCAUCUUUGAGAGACAGGGAGGUAUGGAGCCUAGCACAACCUGGUUGGGGCCAGUAGGGCUUCCACAAUACAAAUGUUAAACAACAGUAGUAUUAUCCUCAUUUUACAGAUGAGAAAACUGAGGCACAGAGAGAUUCAGGUCCCGUUUUUACAGAAAUGCUGAGCACCCACAACUCCAGCUGAAAUCAGUCAGACCUGCCAGAGCCCUGUACCUCUGCAAAAAUCAGACCCUGAUGUGAUUUGCCCAAGGUCAGACAGGAAAUCAUUGGUAGAGUUGGCAAACAAACACAGGCCUCCUGAGUUCUAACUCAAUGAUCCUUCGUGCCUUCAUAUUUUCACCAUCGUUCCAAAUUUUCCAAAAUGUUUCUACAGACAUCUAUUAAUCCUGAUCAUAAGGUAGUUACAUGUUGAUGGUCAAGGGCAGAGGCAAAAAGACCGACAAUUAAUCUAUGCUAACAAAUCUUUGAUUUCCGUUUCCCAGCAAGAUAUAGUAUGUGAGCAUUAGGACAGCAAGGUUGCUUACUCUUCAGUAUCUAAUUACCCACAUCAUUCUGUAUCACCUCUAUUCUUUGUCACAAACUGUUAGCCUUUUGUUUGUUACCUGCUGGAAAUGGGAUAAUCUGGAAAAAGGUUUAAGCUUUAGAAUUAGAUUUGGAAUGUCACAUUCUGGAGGCUCGAAAAUCAUUUGAAACUUUAAGGGGAAAAAAUUCCAAAAAAAAUUACUGAGAAUCAAGUAGAAAAUAUUUUUCUUCCUAAAUUAAUUUGCACCUCAUGGUCUGAAACAAUAAAUAAAGGCUCAUUCUCCGUUUUGUCUCCCUC
rnacentral:lncRNA from 1 species